rnacentral:ncRNA from 2 species
UAUCGUUCGCCCGUUGCUGGUUUUCAUCUCUUCAUCCGAAUGAUGAGAUGAAAUUAAAAGGGAAGCCGGUGUGAAUCCGGCGCUGCCCCGCAGCGGUAUCCGGAAACGAACUUCGCCAUCCGCACUGGAAUCCACCCCGGGAAGCGGCGAACACUAGGCGGCAUCACUUUUGCCAUGUCCGGGAGCCCGAAGACCUGCCGCAACCUGGACGUCCCG